rnacentral:pre_miRNA from 1 species
CAAGUACUCCCUCCGUCCGAAAAUACUUGUCAUCAAAAUAAACAAAAAGGAAUGUAUCUAAAACUAAAAUACAUCUAGAUACAUCCCCUUUUAUUCAUUUUGAUGACAAGUAUUUCCGGACGGAGGGAGUAGUGA